rnacentral:rRNA from 1 species
AGGUAGUCAAGAUGAGAAUUCUAAGGUGAGCGAGCGAACUCUCGUUAAGGAACUCGGCAAAAUGACCCCGUAACUUCGGGAGAAGGGGUGCUCUUUAGGGUUAACGCCCAGAAGAGCCGCAGUGAAUAGGCCCAAGCGACUGUUUAUCAAAAACACAGGUCUCUGCUAAACCGUAAGGUGAUGUAUAGGGGCUGACGCCUGCCCGGUGCUGGAAGGUUAAGAGGAGUGGUUAGCUUCUGCGAAGCUACGAAUCGAAGCCCCAGUAAACGGCGGCCGUAACUAUAACGGUCCUAAGGUAGCGAAAUUCCUUGUCGGGUAAGUUCCGACCCGCACGAAAGGCGUAACGAUUUGGGCACUGUCUCAACGAGAGACUCGGUGAAAUCAUAGUACCUGUGAAGAUGCAGGUUACCCGCGACAGGACGGAAAGACCCCGUGGAGCUUUACUGUAGCCUGAUAUUGAAAUUCGGCACAGCUUGUACAGGAUAGGUAGGAGCCUUUGAAACGUGAGCGCUAGCUUACGUGGAGGCGCUGGUGGGAUACUACCCUAGCUGUGUUGGCUUUCUAACCCGCACCACUUAUCGUGGUGGGAGACAGUGUCAGGCGGGCAGUUUGACUGGGGCGGUCGCCUCCUAAAAGGUAACGGAGGCGCUCAAAGGUUCCCUCAGAAUGGUUGGAAAUCAUUCAUAGAGUGUAAAGGCAUAAGGGAGCUUGACUGCGAGACCUACAAGUCGAGCAGGGUCGAAAGACGGACUUAGUGAUCCGGUGGUUCCGCAUGGAAGGGCCAUCGCUCAACGGAUAAAAGCUACCCCGGGGAUAACAGGCUUAUCUCCCCCAAGAGUU